AGAAGCUUAGGUUAAACAGACCAGGAGCCUUCAAAGCCCCAAGUAAGUGCUACUCACUUAGCCUCUG
rnacentral:tRNA from 1 species